rnacentral:rRNA from 1 species
CCUACGGGAGGCAGCAGUAGGGAAUCUUUCACAAUGGGCGAAAGCCUGAUGGAGCAACGCCGCGUGCAGGAUGAAGGCCUUCGGGUUGUAAACUGCUUUUAUAAGCGAGAAAUAUGAUGGUAACUUAUGAAUAAGGAUCGGCUAACUACGUGCCAGCAGCCGCGGUCAUACGUAGGAUCCGAGCAUUAUCCGGAGUGACUGGGUGUAAAGAGUUGCGUAGGUGGCAUAAUAAGUAGCUAGUGAAAUCUGGUGGCUCAACCAUUCAGACUAUUAGCUAAACUGUUAAGCUCGAGACCGUUAGGGGUAACUGGAAUUUCUAGUGUAGGAGUGAAAUCCGUAGAUAUUAGAAGGAACACCAAUAGCGUAGGCAGGUUGCUGGGACGGUUCUGACACUAAGGCACGAAAGCGUAGGGAGCAAACGGGAUUAGAUACCCCUGUAGUU